GGUUAAGCGACUAAGCGUACACGGUGGAUGCCCUGGCAGUCAGAGGCGAUGAAGGACGUGCUAAUCUGCGAAAAGCGUCGGUAAGGUGAUAUGAACCGUUAUAGCCGGCGAUGUCCGAAUGGGGAAACCCAGUGCAAUUCGUUGCACUAUCGUUAACUGAAUACAUAGGUUAACGAGGCGAACCGGGGGAACUGAAACAUCUAAGUACCCCGAGGAAAAGAAAUCAACCGAGAUUCCCCCAGUAGCGGCGAGCGAACGGGGAGCAGCCCGGAGUCUGAAUCAGCUUGUGUGUUAGUGGAAGCGUCUGGAAAGUCGCAGGGUACAGGGUGAUACUCCCGUACACUAAAACGCACAGGUUGUGAACUCGAAGAGUAGGGCGGGACACGUGGUAUCCUGUCUGAAUAUGGGGGGACCAUCCUCCAAGGCUAAAUACUCCUGACUGACCGAUAGUGAACCAGUACCGUGAGGGAAAGGCGAAAAGAACCCCGGCGAGGGGAGUGAAAAAGAACCUGAAACCGUGUACGUACAAGCAGUAGGAGCCCACUAGUUGGGUGACUGCGUACCUUUUGUAUAAUGGGUCAGCGACUUAUAUUCUGUAGCAAGGUUAACCGUAUAGGGGAGCCGCAGGGAAACCGAGUCUUAACUGGGCGUUAAGUUGCAGGGUAUAGACCCGAAACCCGGUGAUCUAGCCAUGGGCAGGUUGAAGGUUGGGUAACACUAACUGGAGGACCGAACCGACUAAUGUUGAAAAAUUAGCGGAUGACUUGUGGCUGGGGGUGAAAGGCCAAUCAAACCGGGAGAUAGCUGGUUCUCCCCGAAAGCUAUUUAGGUAGCGCCUCGUGAAUUCAUCUUCGGGGGUAGAGCACUGUUUCGGCUAGGGGGUCAUCCCGACUUACCAACCCGAUGCAAACUACGAAUACCGAAGAAUGUUAUCACGGGAGACACACGGCGGGUGCUAACGUCCGUCGUGAAGAGGGAAACAACCCAGACCGCCAGCUAAGGUCCCAAAGUCAUGGUUAAGUGGGAAACGAUGUGGGAAGGCCCAGACAGCCAGGAUGUUGGCUUAGAAGCAGCCAUCAUUUAAAGAAAGCGUAAUAGCUCACUGGUCGAGUCGGCCUGCGCGGAAGAUGUAACGGGGCUAAACCAUGCACCGAAGCUGCGGCAGCGACACUAUGUGUUGUUGGGUAGGGGAGCGUUCUGUAAGCCGUUGAAGGUGGCCUGUGAGGGUUGCUGGAGGUAUCAGAAGUGCGAAUGCUGACAUAAGUAACGAUAAUGCGGGUGAAAAACCCGCACGCCGGAAGACCAAGGGUUCCUGUCCAACGUUAAUCGGGGCAGGGUGAGUCGACCCCUAAGGCGAGGCCGAAAGGCGUAGUCGAUGGGAAACAGGUUAAUAUUCCUGUACUCGGUGUUACUGCGAAGGGGGGACGGAGAAGGCUAUGUUGGCCGGGCGACGGUUGUCCCGGUUUAAGCAUGUAGGCGGAUGUUCCAGGUAAAUCCGGAACGUCACUAACGCUGAGGUGUGAUGACGAGGCACUACGGUGCUGAAGUGACAAAUGCCCUGCUUCCAGGAAAAGCCUCUAAGCAUCAGGUAACAUCAAAUCGUACCCCAAACCGACACAGGUGGUCAGGUAGAGAAUACCAAGGCGCUUGAGAGAACUCGGGUGAAGGAACUAGGCAAAAUGGUGCCGUAACUUCGGGAGAAGGCACGCUGAUGGUAGGUGAAGUGACUUGCUCAUGGAGCUGAAAUCAGUCGAAGAUACCAGCUGGCUGCAACUGUUUAUUAAAAACACAGCACUGUGCAAACACGAAAGUGGACGUAUACGGUGUGACGCCUGCCCGGUGCCGGAAGGUUAAUUGAUGGGGUUAUCCGUAAGGAGAAGCUCUUGAUCGAAGCCCCGGUAAACGGCGGCCGUAACUAUAACGGUCCUAAGGUAGCGAAAUUCCUUGUCGGGUAAGUUCCGACCUGCACGAAUGGCGUAAUGAUGGCCAGGCUGUCUCCACCCGAGACUCAGUGAAAUUGAACUCGCUGUGAAGAUGCAGUGUACCCGCGGCAAGACGGAAAGACCCCGUGAACCUUUACUAUAGCUUGACACUGAACACUGGUCCUUGAUGUGUAGGAUAGGUGGGAGGCUUUGAAGUGUGGACGCCAGUCUGCAUGGAGCCAUCCUUGAAAUACCACCCUUUAAUGGCUGGUGUUCUAACGUGGGCCCCUGAUCGGGGUUGCGGACAGUGUCUGGUGGGUAGUUUGACUGGGGCGGUCUCCUCCUAAAGAGUAACGGAGGAGCACGAAGGUCAGCUAAUCCUGGUCGGACAUCAGGAGGUUAGUGCAAUGGCAUAAGCUGGCUUGACUGCGAGCGUGACGGCGCGAGCAGGUGCGAAAGCAGGUCAUAGUGAUCCGGUGGUUCUGAAUGGAAGGGCCAUCGCUCAACGGAUAAAAGGUACUCCGGGGAUAACAGGCUGAUACCGCCCAAGAGUUCAUAUCGACGGCGGUGUUUGGCACCUCGAUGUCGGCUCAUCACAUCCUGGGGCUGAAGUAGGUCCCAAGGGUAUGGCUGUUCGCCAUUUAAAGUGGUACGCGAGCUGGGUUUAGAACGUCGUGAGACAGUUCGGUCCCUAUCUGCCGUGGGCGCUGGAGAAUUGAGGGGGGCUGCUCCUAGUACGAGAGGACCGGAGUGGACGCAUCACUGGUGUUCGGGUUGUCAUGCCAAUGGCAUUGCCCGGUAGCUAAAUGCGGAAGAGAUAAGUGCUGAAAGCAUCUAAGCACGAAACUUGCCCCGAGAUGAGUUCUCCCUGACCCUUUAAGGGUCCUGAAGGAACGUUGAAGACGACGACGUUGAUAGGCCGGGUGUGUAAGCGCAGCGAUGCGUUGAGCUAACCGGUACUAAUGAACCGUGAGGCUUAACCUU
rnacentral:rRNA from 1 species